CCUACGGGCGGCUGCAGUGGGGAAUUUUGGACAAUGGGGGGAACCCUGAUCCAGCAACGCCGCGUGAAUGAAGAAGGCCUUAGGGUUGUAAAGUUCUUUUACAUGGGAGCAAGUUUAGUAUGUUAAGAGCUAAUUAAAUUGAGAGUACCAUGAGAAUAAGCACCGGCUAACUACGUGCCAGCAGCCGCGGUAAUACGUAGGGUGCGAGCGUUAAUCGGAAUUACUGGGCGUAAAGGGUGAGUAGGCGGAUGUACAAGUUAGAUGUGAAAUACCUG
rnacentral:rRNA from 1 species